rnacentral:lncRNA from 1 species
UGAUAUUAAAGCCUUGCGGGGUUUCGAUUGACAUUCCGGGUAAUGAGUAUCGAUCGGGACAUAGCGGCUGUUGUAACGGGCUCGAGGGGAGUUUCGGGUCGUGACAUUUAUAAAGCUUGUAAUGUAUGGCUAGGGUUUAGGUAAGAUGAAGGAUAUAAUGUGGCUUAAAUCACUCUAAGUACAUAAUUAUUCUAAAACCUAUAUAUAUAGCUCUAUUUUCCUUCUCCUAGUGCACAUUUUUUUCCAGAUUUGAACUUUUCUUUUAUUCAACACAUUUUUUUCUUUUUUUUCACAAAUUUAAAAUUUUACGCCCCCCAAACUUAUUUUCUUUGUAUUAUAGGUAGUGGGGUGAUUUUUAAUAUUUUAAACUUUUUUUUUUCACAUCAAUAUCACUUUUUCACAUUUU